CCUUCCGUAGGUGAACCUGCGGACGGUUCAUUACCGAGUGUAGGGUUCCUAGCGAGCCCAACCUCCCACCCGUGUUUACUGUACCUUAGUUGCUUCGGCGGGCCCGCCAUUCAUGGCCGCCGGGGGCUCUCAGCCCCGGGCCCGCGCCCGCCGGAGACACCACGAACUCUGUCUGAUCUAGUGAAGUCUGAGUUGAUUGUAUCGCAAUCAGUUAAAACUUUCAACAAUGGAUCUCUUGGUUCCGGCAUCGAUGAAGAACGCAGCGAAAUGCGAUAACUAGUGUGAAUUGCAGAAUUCCGUGAAUCAUCGAGUCUUUGAACGCACAUUGCGCCCCCUGGUAUUCCGGGGGGCAUGCCUGUCCGAGCGUCAUUGCUGCCCAUCAAGCACGGCUUGUGUGUUGGGUCGUCGUCCCCUCUCCGGGGGGGACGGGCCCCAAAGGCAGCGGCGGCACCGCGUCCGAUCCUCGAGCGUAUGGGGCUUUGUCACCCGCUCUGUUGGCCCGGCCGGCGCUUGCCGAACGCAAAUCAAUCUUUUUCCGGGUUGACUCGGAUCAGGUAGGGAUACCCGCUG
rnacentral:rRNA from 1 species